UUUACAUGACGGGAAAAUGUUGCAGCGUAAUAAUUAAAUGUGAGAACUACGGCUGAGUUAAACAUCUGAUCCUGUGUUUGUUUGUUUGUUUGUUUGUUUGUUUGUUUGUUACGUCCUUUUAGACUCACUCCUUUAGCAUCCGGAACGAGCCCCAGCUGAAUCCUGUCCCGGAGCUGCCGUGCUCCUCGGCUUCUCUGCUGUCCUCAGUCAUGGACCUAGUGCCACCAGAGGAGACAUCACCAGAGCAUGCUGCUCCUCCCGCCACUAACAGCAGUAAGAAGCAGCGUCCACCAUCACCUGAUCCUGCAUCUGCAGAGAACGGAGCUGCUUGGACAGGACCGCAUCAGGUAACACCUGGUUUCAUUGUUCCUCUGAGAUGAUGGAGGAAGUUUCCACCGUUACUUUAGCAGGACCUGAGUAAACAAUAAGAAGCUUGGUGAGAUGUUUAGUUUAGUUGCAAACGUUUCUUCUGCUUCAGAAACGUUGAACACCCAAAGGGCUGAGGAGAAAUGUGAGUGCUGCUUCACCGGCCAUGAAAGUAGUUCUGCAGACCAGUGUGCUCAUAUUGUUGAGAUGGUUUACUAGAGCUGUUUAAAUAAAUACAGCAAGUACAAGUCCAAUUACAAGUAC